ACACAUACCAAUUUUGUAUCAUUCCAAUUUUGGAAUGAUACAAAGAAGAUUAGCAUGGCCCCUGCGCAAGGAUGACACGCAAUUUGUGAAGUGUUCCAUAUUUCA
ensembl:snRNA U6 U6 spliceosomal RNA